rfam:Gossypium hirsutum cultivar TM-1 unplaced genomic scaffold scaffold6413.1, whole genome shotgun sequence
GGGUGCGAUCAUACCAGCACUAAUGGACCGAAUCCCAUCAAAACUCCGCAGUCAAGCGUGCUUGGGCGAGUGUAGUACUAGGAUGGGUGACCUCCUGGGAAGUCCUCAUGUUGCACCCC